UAGCGUAUAUUAAAGUUGUUGCGGUUAAAAAGCUCGUAGUUGGAUUUCUGUUGAGGACGACCGGUCCAUACCACGUAUGCGCAUCUGGUUCGGCCUCGGCAUCCUCUCGAUAGACGUUUCUGCGCUUGAUUGCGUGGAGCGGAUCUCGGGACUUUUACUUUGAGGAAAUUAGAGUGUUCACGGCAGGCUGUCGCCAGAAUACAUUAGCAUGGAAUAAUAUUAUAGGAUCUCGAUUCUAUUUUGUUGGUUUCUAGAGUUGGGAUAAUGAUUAAUAGGGACAAUUGGGGGCAUUCGUAUCAACACGUC
rnacentral:rRNA from 1 species